GUCUUCUCCGUUGUAUUCGCCAUUUGAUGACCUUUCCAUUUCUUAUUCUAAGAAGACGAGCCUCACCGUAGAUCCGUUGACACCAUCUCACUCCCUGACAAUCAGAUGAGCCUCUGCCGCCCCAAUGACUGACCAGUCGCCACCGUCAGUCUCCCAGUCAUCCUCAAUCCGGGAGAGCACUCCGUUGGAGAACGAGCCACCAGAGCUUUCGAGCCCUCCUAUGAACCUCCGCACCAGAGAUCCUUCAGAUCCGCCAAGAUGGAAAGAGAGAAAGCUUCAACGACAUCACCAAACGACCACUACUCCGUCACGUUGUUCAUAAUCCGAAGGGGAGGAGGCGACGAAGCUUUCCGGCGUGAGCCAUAGAUCUUGCCACCUCCAAAACCCUAGACAGCACCGCACAAGAGGAGAGAGCUAGAGAGCAUGCAAGCCAUGGAAACCCUAACAAGCUAUGCCAGAAAUUAAGAUCUACUGAAUGAGCACAACAACAACUCAGAUUCAAUAGAUCUCAGCAGAGCAGGAGUAUUUCGAGCAAACUCCACUCGACCAGUCUUUGGAAAUCAUUUCUCAGAAGAUGCACAUGCCGUGUGUUGCUGCUGAUUUUUGAGUUUGUAAUCAACCAAACACUAUGCUUUUCAUAUGUUCCUCUCUGCACUUCUUCAGGUCCCUUCUUUUUUUUUUUAUUCUAGCAACUUAACUUCUACUGCAUCCUCUAAUAGUUUCAUUAUCCAUUCAAAAUAUUUUUUUAUCUCAGCUAUGUGAUAGCUGAGACAUGUUAAUUAGACAAUUAGCCAGAUUUGUAUUGGAAGAUGAAGAUGCAGCCAAAAGGGUCUGACGGACUCCUUUUACCCUACAUGGAAACCAGAACUACAUAGAGAUCCCUAGAGCCAUUGCAGUGGUUGGGACAAUGUAUGGGUUGGUUAUGAUUGGAAAUACAAUUCAAGUUGUGCAGAGCCCUCCAAUGCAGUCUGGGAUUUUCAAAUCCAGUCUCUUUUUUUUAUCUUUCAUCACUCUCUCUCUUCACAGCUUGCUCAAUAAAAGGGAAAAUGAAGUUGUCAGUGUUGUAAAUACAAUUCUGGUGGUAUAUUCAAGGUGUAAGUGGUCACUGGUCAAGAAUAUGUGUGCUCUCAAAAGAAACAGAGGAAGCUGAAGUAUAGCCCAUAUUCUGCUCCAAACACAGACCUGGCUCUCUCCUGAUCCUUCGAGCUGAGGUUCAAUGUGGAAGGACGAGAAACCAACCAUGGUCUCAUGAGAAUUUUCAAUGAUCCUUCCAAGGAUAUAACGUUCUAUGUGGAGUUGAAAUACUUUCAUUUGUUUAAAGCUGCCAAAGAAGGAGGAUGGUUGGGACUACAAUACUGUUUAUAUAUGGUUUGAUUUCUUUCUACACCAUAAUACUCCUGCGUUACUGUCUCGACAGUGAGUUUGACCUCAAGACCUAUCCCGACAGUGCCCAAGCUGCGUUUCUACCACGUGACGUAUCUUUGUCUCGGUAAGGGGCUAAUAUUUUCAAAAAGUUCUGAAUCUACCUUUAUAGUAAAGGUUAUAAAAGUUAAGAACCAUAUAACAGAAAUAUGAUUUGCCUUUGGGCUUUCGAACAAAUGGAACAACUGAAAAGCUAUGGGUAGCAAGUAGAUCAGUUAGUAAAUCUCUCACUAAUAAAUCCCUAAUUGCUAUCAGAAGUCAAUAGUACAAUACUAUAAGCUUA